AGAAAUGACAGUUUUCUGACUGCUUUCCUACUUGCUACAUUGCUGGCUGGUGGGUAUGGAAAGGAGCUGCAACCUUUCUAGCUGGUUUUCAUAUUUGGGGUGGGCUACACAACAAAUUCAAGACCAGAAGACAAAAAGGCAGCUGAGGUAGCAAUUCUUCGGAAAAAUUAAGACACCUGUGUCUCUGAGGUGUUGUGAAAUGAGCAGAGAUGAGUUUUAUUUGAAGUAAGCUGAAAGGAGAAGGAUAGUCAUCCGGCUAGAACGUUGGUCUGGAGCUCAAGA